GGAAAAGAAACUAACAAGGAUUCCCCUAGUAACUGCGAGUGAAGCGGGAAAAGCUCAAAUUUGAAAUCUGGCGGUCCAUGGCUGUCAGAGUUGUAGUCUGGAGAAGUGUUUUCUGUGCUGGACCAUGUACAAGUCUCUUGGAACAGAGCCUCAUAGAGGGUGAGAAUCCCGUCUUUGACAUGGACUACCAGUGCUUUGUGAUGCACUCUCGAAGAGUCGAGUUGUUUGGGAAUGCAGCUCAAAAUGGGUGGUAAAUUCCAUCUAAAGCUAAAUAUUGGCGAGAGACCGAUAGUGAACAAGUACCGUGAGGGAAAGAUGAAAAGCACUUUGGAAAGAGAGUUAAACAGUACGUGAAAUUGCUGAAAGGGAAACGCUUGAAGUCAGUCGCAUUGACCGGAACUCAGCCUUGCUUUCGCUGGGUGCACUUUUUGGUUGAUGGGCCAACAUCAUUUUUGACUGUUGGAAAAAGGUCAGGGGAAUGUGGCACCUUCGGGUGUGUUAUAGCUCUUGGUCACAUACAACAGUUGAGAUUGAGGACUGCAGCAUGCCUUUCAUGGUCGGGGUUUUAUUACCUACGUUUCGUGCUGAGGAUGUUGGCAUAAUGGCUUUAAACGACCCGUCUUGAAACACGGACCAAGGAGUCUAACAUGCCUGCGAGUGUUUGGGUGGUAAACCCGAGCGCGCAAUGAAAGUAAAAGCUUGAGAUCCCUGUCGUGGGGAGCAUCGACGCCCGGACCUGACCUUCGGUGAUGGAUCUGCGGUAGAGCAUGUGUGUUGGGACCCGAAAGAUGGUGAACUAUGCCUGAAUAGGGUGAAGCCAGAGGAAACUCUGGUGGAGGCUCGUAGCGAUUCUGACGUGCAAAUCGAUCGUCAAAUUUGGGUAUAGGGGCGAAAGACUAAUCGAACC
rnacentral:rRNA from 1 species